AAAAAGACUCUCACCUUUCUCUUAAAAUCAAGAUAUGAAACCAGUGUGGUUUCAAAGGAUCGAGAAAGAGGUUACGAAAACCCCUGGGUUUCUGAUCACCGGUGACGGCGGACCUCCGACCGGUCACCCACAACCACACCCCUAUCUCCUGUGACGGCGGCGCCCCCUCGUUUCUCCGGCGACGGUGAUGCCAAACGUCCCCUCAUGCCCACCCUUCUCCGCAACCCACAACCACCCUCAAAUCUCUCAGAUCCAUCUUCAUCUCUCGAUGGAUUUUUUUUGCGGCGGUGUGUCGGUGACGGUGGAUGAAGGCGGAGGUGUGGGUCACCCAUACCUGUGACGGCGAUGGUGGGUAGAUGGGCGGUGGGUGUUUCCGGCGGCGGUCACUACAUGUCAAGUGAGUUUUACUUUUCUUGAGUUCUUGAUCUUUUUUGGAUUAGGGUUUUUGUGGGGGUGAUGUUGGUAAAGAUUUGAAUGAAGAUAUUACUGGAGGCAUUUUGAUAAGUCUGUGAAUGGUAUUUCUUUUGGGUUUUUUGUUGCUACUGCCAUUUACUAGUUCAUCAGAUUCUUUUGUUCGAGCAAGUUGCAUAUUCGGUGGAUUUUUAUCUGUUGAUUUUUGAUAUGCGGGUUUGAUCUGUUGAUUUUUGAUAUGUGGGUUUGAUAUAUGGGUCACAAACAAGAAUCUGUUAAACUUUUUGGUGAUUUUGCUUUUCUAGUCAUUUUUGAUGAACUAUGCUUUUCUAGUGCUUUUUAUGAACUUUGUGUUCAUGAACAAAGAAUCUGAUGAAUUUUUGCUUUCUAGUUAUUUUUGAGGGUGUUUGUUUAGGGGUGGUGGCUACUGGUCGGACUUAUUGGGUUGUUUCGGUGGUGGCUACUGGUCGGACUUAUUGUGUUGUUUCUGUUGGAGCUAUGGUAUGUACAGUUUGUUUUGUUUUGAUUAUGUUUUUGUUGGGUUUUUCUUUGAUCGUUUCUGUUGGAUCGAUGUCGGUGGUACCUGUACAGUUGUUUGUUUUGAUUAUGUUCACAUGAUGGGUCUGUACAGCAGUUGCCGAUAGUGCCCGGUGGUGUCCCGUGGUGUCCGCUGGUGCCGGGGGUGCCCCGUUGUGCCGACUUAAACUUUUUUUUCGCCGACAUUUGAUAUUGACGAUCGUUCUUGGCAGUGAUGAUGCAAAAAAACGUAUUUUUUUAUGACGAUGGCACGGCAAGGAUGGUGGAGGGUAGGUUUUUGAACCCGCAACCCCACCUUGCAGCCUUUUAAUUUAUCGGAAAAAAUCUGAGCCAAACCCUUUUUUUUCGAGAUACACUUUUGUUUUUUGGUGUUGUUGGUUUUUUAUAUUCUUUUCCCUCGUCGAUGACGAUAAAAAUAUAUCCGAGACACCUACCGACUUUGCGAUUUAUGGGUGCGUUCGUCUUUGCGUAAAUAAGUUUUCGUGUAAAAAAGUUUUUGUGGAAAAACUUCAACCGUAAACUUUUACGUAAAACGUAAAAAGUUUACCGUAAAAGUUUUUGGUGAGGCUUUGAUGGCGGCGGUAGUUCAGGUGGUGGUGGGUUUGUGGGGGUGGUGGGUUUCAAGUCGGCGAUGGGCGGCGGCGGAGUUGUGGUGGUGGUGGGUUUCUAGUCGGCGAUGAGCGGUGUUGUGGUGGUGGUGGGUUUUGACGUCGACGGCAGUGAGGGGGUGAGCAAUGACAUUGAUGGUGAUGACGGCAGCCGGUAACCCCUCAGAUCAAGACUCAUGGGUUUGGUGGUGGUGGAGAGGGUUUGAGCAAUGACGUUGAUGGUGAUCACGGCAGUCGGCCGGCGCCGGAGCUGCACCGGCGACGACUGCAGUAGAGGUGAGUGUGUUUGGUUCAAGUUUGGCUUAGAUUUCGUGCUCAGAUUCUGAUGUGGUUUGAGUUUUGGUUCGGGUUAAGUUCGGGUUCACUUCAGAUUUUGUCGGGUUUUCGGCUCGGUUUCGGGUCUCGGUCAAAGUUGGUCAGCCGCGGUUCGGGUGUGGUUCGACGGGUCAGAUUGAAUUUUCCUUUCAGCUUUAUGACCUCAAGCAGCAAGGUUUCAUAGAGAGGCAAUAGGUGAAAUUUUUUUAGUAGACGAAAACACUGCGUUUUAGCGAUUUUUAUUACAAGAACCUGGAAUUUGGUUAAUGUUUAACAUCUAAAAUACUCUUCUCUGGAAUUUGAUUAGAAAUUUGUUAUGUUUUGA